rnacentral:rRNA from 1 species
UGGGGAAUCUUGGACAAUGGGCGAAAGCCUGAUCCAGCCAUGCCGCGUGAGUGACGAAGGCCUUAGGGUUGUAAAACUCUUUCGUCGGGGACGAUAAUGACGGUACCCGAAGAAGAAGCUCCGGCUAACUUCGUGCCAGCAGCCGCGGUAAUACGAAGGGAGCUAGCGUUGUUCGGAAUCACUGGGCGUAAAGCGCACGUAGGCGGAUAGUUAAGUCAGGGGUGAAAUCCUGGGGCUCAACCCCAGAACUGCCUUUGAUACCGGCUGUCUCGAGGUCGAGAGAGGUUGGUGGAAUUCCUAGUGUAGAGGUGAAAUUCGUAGAUAUUGGGAAGAACACCAGUGGCGAAGGCGGCUAACUGGUCCGGUACUGACGCUGAGGUGCGAAAGCGUGGGGAGCAAACAGGAUUAGAUACCCACGUAGUCCCUGAGCGGGCUGGCAAGGCGCAU